GGCCAUAGCUCAGUGGAAGAACAUCUGCUUUGCAUUCAGAAGGUCCUAGGUUCAAUCCAUUGCCAGGGAGGGCUA